rnacentral:tRNA from 1 species
ACCUUCGUAGUGUAGUGGUCAGCACGCUCGGCGCGUAUUCGACAGGUCCGUGGUUCGAGUCCCGGCGAGGGCA